GAUGAACGCUAGCGGCAGGCUUAAUACAUGCAAGUCGAGGGGCAGCAUGACUGUAGCAAUACAGUUGAUGGCGACCGGCAAACGGGUGCGGAACACGUACGCAACCUACCCAAAACUGAGGAAUAGCCCGGGGAAACCCGGAUUAAUACUUCGUAACAUAAUUGAAUGGCAUCAUUUAAUUAUUAUAGCUCCGGCGGUUUUGGAUGGGCGUGCGCCUGAUUAGGUUAGNGGUAGGGUAACGGCCUACCAAGCCAACGAUCAGUAACUGGUGUGAGAGCACGACCAGUCACACGGGCACUGAGACACGGGCCCGACUCCUACGGGAGGCAGCAGUAAGGAAUAUUGGUCAAUGGACGCAAGUCU
rnacentral:rRNA from 1 species